UAGGGAAUCUUCCACAAUGGGACAGCAAGUCUGAUGGAGCAACGCCGCGUGAGUGAAGAAGGUUUUCGGACCGUAAAGCUCUGUUGUUGGUGAAGAAGGAUAGAGGUAGUAACUGGCCUUUAUUUGACGGUAAUCAACCAGAAAGUCACGGCUAACUACGUGCCAGCAGCCGCGGUAAUACGUAGGUGGCAAGCGUUGUCCGGAUUUAUUGGGCGUAAAGCGAGCGCAGGCGGAAGAAUAAGUCUGAUGUGAAAGCCCUCGGCUUAACCGAGGAAUUGCAUCGGAAACUGUUUUUCUUGAGUGCAGAAGAGGAGAGUAGAACUCCAUGUGUAGCGGUGGAAUGCGUAGAUAUAUGGAAGAAUACCAGUGGCGAAGGCGGCUCUCUGGUCUGCAACUGACGCUGAGGCUCGAAAAGCAUGGGUAGCGAACAGGAUUAGAUACCCUGGUAGUCCAUGCCGUAAAACGAUGAGUGCUAAGUGUUGGGAGGCUUCCGCCUCUCAGUGCUGCAGCUAACGCAUUAAGCACUCCGCCUGGGGGAGUACGACCGCAAGGUUG
rnacentral:rRNA from 1 species